rnacentral:lncRNA from 1 species
AGCUCAAAACCCCAAAAACAACUCAUAUAGCAUACAAAGGCAUAAAGGGUCCAUAAACCCUCACAUGCACAACCAUGCAAAACUCAUGCAAACUAACCCUUUCCCUUCAUAAAACUCCCUUAAAACACUGUAAAAGCUAAGGAUCUACACUUACCUCUUGAAGAACGAGAGGAUUGGCGAUCCAAACUUGAAGAUCUGGAGAAUCCAACUCCCAAAAGUCUCCAAGCUCCAAAACUCUUCAAAAUCACAUAAAACCUACUUAAAACUUGCUUAACUUUGAAAGAUUUGAAGAAACAACAACAAAUCAACCCAAGGAGAUCAAGAACUCACCUAUACCCGAAAAGAGAGAGAAAACUCACCUCAAAUCAGGAUAAGGGGCCUUUUAUAGGUGGCCAACCG